GUCGAACGAUGAAGCCCAGCUUGCUGGGUGGAUUAGUGGCGAACGGGUGAGUAACACGUGAGUAACCUGCCCUUAACUCUGGGAUAAGCCUGGGAAACUGGGUCUAAUACCGGAUAGGAGCGUCCACCGCAUGGUGGGUGUUGGAAAGAUUUAUCGGUUUUGGAUGGACUCGCGGCCUAUCAGCUUGUUGGUGAGGUAAUGGCUCACCAAGGCGACGACGGGUAGCCGGCCUGAGAGGGUGACCGGCCACACUGGGACUGAGACACGGCCCAGACUCCUACGGGAGGCAGCAGUGGGGAAUAUUGCACAAUGGGCGAAAGCCUGAUGCAGCGACGCCGCGUGAGGGAUGACGGCCUUCGGGUUGUAAACCUCUUUCAGUAGGGAAGAAGCGAAAGUGACGGUACCUGCAGAAGAAGCACCGGCUAACUACGUGCCAGCAGCCGCGGUAAUACGUAGGGUGCGAGCGUUAUCCGGAAUUAUUGGGCGUAAAGAGCUCGUAGGCGGUUUGUCGCGUCUGUCGUGAAAGUCCGGGGCUUAACCCCGGAUCUGCGGUGGGUACGGGCAGACUAGAGUGCAGUAGGGGAGACUGGAAUUCCUGGUGUAGCGGUGGAAUGCGCAGAUAUCAGGAGGAACACCGAUGGCGAAGGCAGGUCUCUGGGCUGUAACUGACGCUGAGGAGCGAAAGCAUGGGGAGCGAACAGGAUUAGAUACCCUGGUAGUCCAUGCCGUAAACGUUGGGCACUAGGUGUGGGGACCAUUCCACGGUUUCCGCGCCGCAGCUAACGCAUUAAGUGCCCCGCCUGGGGAGUACGGCCGCAAGGCUAAAACUCAA
rnacentral:rRNA from 1 species